AGAUAGAACUUUACUUAGUUAUAUCUGGUAUCAAUUAACAAUUUAUGUAUCAGAAAGACCAUUUAAUGAUGUAAAGAAAAAAAACUUGUUUUUGAAAGAUCUUGUAAGAAGCAUUUAAACAAGGUGAUCUUUCCUAAAACUAACUACUGAGUAAUUCUCUUCAUUUUACAUCAACACAGGAUGAAAUAGUGAUAAUGAGGACACAUCAUGCACCUAGACCACCUCAACACACUAAACUCCAUCCUUUCUCUUCACUCAACACUAUACACUACAAGAAACAUGACUCAGAGGACCAAGGAAUGGACUGGAUGCAUGCUUGAAGAUUGGCCUCUCCCAAAGCCAUGAUGGAUGCCCUGCAGGACCCCCUGGGAGGAGCAGCGCAGGUGGGGAGGUGUGUUGUGGGCAAUGUAGGAGCAGCAAGCAGCCCACACGGCAGCAUGGGUGAUACCUGCAACAUAACGGCAGAAAGGUCGGCCUCAUUACUCACCCUGGAUAAACUCAAAGGGAAGAACCCACCAAGGAUUCUUCAUCCAGGAAAUGUAGAGGAAACGAAGCACAUUUCCAGUCAGGCCUAUACACAGCACCUGCCCACAAUGAACACCACUCAACAC